rnacentral:lncRNA from 1 species
CUGAGAUACAUGGAAAUGGCCACCUGCUCAGAAAGAAGUCCUUCUCACUAGGCUUGAAAUGCCCAUCGGUCCUUUGGUCAUCCAGUUCUAACAUCAUGACACCAGAAGUUCCGUAUUGUACCAGUCAGGUACUCAAAUCCAAAGGGACUGACUAAAUGUAUUUGGAGGAAAUGGUAGGAAGCUUCAAGUCUUCCUUUCCCCAAAGACACCGAGUUAACACGGACCAGAACACCUCUGUGAGAACUCUAGAGACAUGUCGAGAAGCUACAGCAUGCCAUAUCAUUGUAAAACCCAAAAAGGAUUCUAAACAAAAAAGGAGGGAAAAUCUGCAGUAUUUGGCAAAGCCAUCCUGACUUUUCUUCUUUGUGGCAUAGUGCUAAGCAACUGGGAAAAAACCCUUACCCCAGGGCUCCAUCAUCCAGGAUGGAAACAAAAGAUUGGACCAUGGAUUCAGUGCUCUGGUUUAUCUGAUGGCCACCCAAGGGGCUAGCUGCUUUAUCACCUGACUGGGACAACAGCUAAGGAUACCAGGGGAAGAAUCUGGAAACAAAGGUGGAGCCUCCGAUUAGAGCUGCGGUUCCACAAGCAGACACCAGAGGGAACAAAAGAACAGGAAAGAUGGGAGCCAUCCUUGCUCCACUAGUACUGCUGUGAAGGUCUUCCCCUACAAGGAGCCAGACUGUGGAAGGGAAAUCCCCAGCAGACAGCUGAUACUCAGAGUUGACAAAAAGAAUGAAGGAAGGAAUGAAGCCAUCUGCGGAAGGGCACGGAACUGCCGGGUAAUGGAAACUGGAACCGCAUGCCCAGCAGGCCCGGUGACCCACAGUAACAGGUGUUUGCACCUCUGAGGUCUGUGAGUCAUCCGCACAGCUGCGCGCGCACACAGCAUAAGCACUCACAGGCUCCUGGAAGACAACGCUGGAACACAAGCUGACGUGGGCACCGUGUUCUGGGCGCCCCGAGACACACCUCAGCAAGAACCUG